rnacentral:rRNA from 1 species
CACACCGCCCGUCACACCAUGGGAGGUUUGUUGCACCAGAAGCAGGUAGCUUAACCUUCGGGAGGGCGCUUGCCACGGUGUGGCCGAUGACUGGGGUG